UACAGAGGGUGCAAGCGUUGUUCGGAAUUACUGGGCGUAAAGCGCGUGUAGGCGGCUGGAAAAGUCAGAUGUGAAAUCCCUAGGCUUAACCAAGGAACUGCAUUUGAUACUGUCUAGCUUGAGUUUUGGAGGGGGUGGUGGAAUUCCUAGUGUAGAGGUAAAAUUCGUAGAUAUUAGGAGGAACACCAGUGGCGAAGGCGACCACCUGGACAAAAACUGACGCUGAGACGCGAAAGCAUGGGUAGCAAACAGG
rnacentral:rRNA from 1 species